rnacentral:rRNA from 1 species
CAGCAGUCGCCACGGUAAUACAGAGGGUGCGAGCGUUAAUCGGAUUUACUGGGCGUAAAGCGUGCGUAGGCGGCUAAUUGAGUCGGAUGUGAAAUCCCCGAGCUUAACUUGGGAAUUGCAUUCGAUACUGGUUAGCUAGAGUGUGGGAGAGGAUGGUAGAAUUCCAGGUGUAGCGGUGAAAUGCGUAGAGAUCUGUAGGAAUACCGAUGGCGAAGGCAGCCAUCUGGCCUAACACUGACGCUGAGGUACGAAAGCAUGGGGAGCAAACAGGAUUAGAUACCCCCGUAGUCCCUGUCUCUUAUAC